GCGGUCAAGUGACCUCACACGACUUUUCUGUUCCUCGUGCUUAGACAAUAUUUUUUUGAAGUGUUUCGAAAAUUUGGAUUAUUAAUUUCGAUAUGGUUUUGAAAGCUUGGAGUAAUAUUGCGAAAAGGUAAGUUGGAGUGUAAAUAUAUUUUUCAUAGUUGCACUUUCAAUCUUUAUUAAAUUUGUUAUUGAUUUGACCCAAAUAAGUACCGUGUCGUGACCUUUACCCGUUUACCUGCCAAAGUUUGUAAACAAUGUACACAAAUUUAGCGUACAAGUGUUGAUGUACCUAUAUAUAUUGACACACACACACACACACACACACACACACACACACACACACACACUAAUAUAUCUGAAUUACCCACAUUAACAUUCAUAGUAAUAAUUAUUGUACAAACAAACUUCUGCACAUACAGUCAUACUUGUUCAACAUGAUACUUUUUUACACACAAAUUCCUUUCCAUAACUUUCACACAUACUUAUACCAUAGGCAUAGCACUUACAGAUGAUAACUUGCAUAGUCCAUUUAUAAUAAAGUAAAGAAAAAAAUCACAUACAAUCACACAUAAUCUAGAUAGCAUCUGGGUUUUUUUUUACUAUACAUGUAGCUUAAGUUAACUAUAAGAUGACUUCAUUAUUAUUCUUCAAAACUUUUUUAACACCUUUGCUAAUAAACUGCUGAUCUCUAUAUUGGUCAUACUAUAUAAUUCUACAGUAUUUUCUACCUCAUAUUCAAAAAUUCUUAAUGUGUCUACUGCUUUUGUUUUUUUAUUAGAAACAUAAUGUGUUUUAUAGACUGAAAAGAACAUUAAGCUAAGCAGAUGAUUUAGCGCAUAGUAUCCAUCGUUAUGAAUUUUGUAUCCUAUAACCAACGAUUGAAGACUUAUUACAUGUUCAUCUAUGAAGACUUUUUUUAGUCAAACUUUCGAUGAUUUCCCAGAAUGUUUUAUGAUAUGAACAUGUAAUGAAAAAAUGAUUUAUAAUAAAAAAUUGUUAAGUGAAAUUUUCCACUGAAAAAGCAGCACCUCAUUUGACAAAAUAUAGUGCAUUAGUUUCCACCUAAACAUUUUUAUUUUAUUAUCUUUAAGAUAUUCAAAAUUAAAUUUAAUCGAGUCUUUAAAUUCAUUUAUUAGUCUCCCUUUGCUUAAGACUAUUUCCCAUUUCAAAAAUCCUACUGGUAUUUCUGUUUUUUGACACACUUAAUACUUAUUUGUAUAUGUUUUUAGCAUUAAUAGUUAGAGCAUCAUUACAAUCUCUUAGUUUAGUUUUUGUUCGGUUGAUAUGGACUUUUGUUUUGAAUGAUUCUUCUGAUUUUAAUUUGUUUGUCCAUUGGUUUUGUAAAGAUUAGUUUAGUUUUGAGUAUUCAGAAAUCCAAUUCCUUUUAUUUCUGAAUUUUGAAGUAAUCAUCUUUUCUGAUAUAUUUCCUCUUUAUCUAUUAUGUCAUUUAUAUAUAUUGGCUGAAAUUUCGCAUAAUUCCCGGAUUUGGGUUUUUUUUCUUAAUCGAUUGAUAUAUAUGAAUUUCGACAGCAGUAUACUACUGUUGCUUUUAUUUAAAGAAAGAAAUAAUAUCGUUUAAUAAAUAUUAUUCGUCUGAAGCUUUUUUCGGGUUUUCCAUUAACUGGAACUCUCAAAGCCAAAUAUUUGAAAGUCUAGGACCUAUAAGAACUGAAACAAGACGAGCUCUGUGAUAAAAGAGACAUACGUGAUCUCUAUAUAACAUGUAUAUAAGGCAAACAAACAGUACAUUUACGCUCGGCUGUUUCUGAUGUAGUCGGAACCCUACGCUCUUGAAAAUCUCAUUUUAAUAAAUGGAUGCAUGAAAUAUAUCAUGUCAGUUCCGAAGCCCACAACUAAUAACAUGGCAGUUGUUUUCACGUGUAGGACUUUAAAAGCUUUACUAGUUAAUAAAUUCUUUUUUGUAAGACGUGUUUCCUUGUUUUUCUUGAUUUAUAUUUGUCGGGGACGCUUAAAUCCAAACAUCUCAGAUCUGUAAGUAGAUAUAGGAAGAGGUGGUAUGAGUGCCAAUGAGACAACUCUCCAUCCAAAUAACAAUUUACAAGUAAACCAUAAUAUGUCAAGGUAAGGCCUUCAACGGGGAGCCUUGGCUCACACCGAACAGCAAGCUAUAGAGGGCACCAAAAAUAGUAAUGUAAAAACCAUGAAUGUGUUAUUACUGAAACACAUACAGAGCUAUAUAACUAAACGGAACAUAAGAUUCAGUAAUGUUUCUAUAUUUUACAUCAAAAGGACGAAAGAUACCAGGAACAGUCAAACUCAUAGAUAAAAAAAGAAAACGGCAUGGCUAGAAAAUAAAACAGACAAAUGAUACUACACAAGACACAACAUAGAAAACUAAAGACUAAGCAACACGAACCCACCAAAAACUGGUGGUGAUCACAGGGGCUCAGGAGGGUCAGCAGAUCAUACUCUACAUGUGGCACCCAUCGUUAUGGUAGCACUCCACAGUUAGAAAAAAAAAAUCAAAAAUGAGCCACAAAAUGUUUAAUCAUCUCCUAUUCCUGGAUUUCUAAUACAUUAACCUAACUGUUUGUGUUGUACAUGUGCAUGUAUGUAAUCAGUAUAUUCCAUAGAUUUGAUUUUUAAAAGUUAAAAGAGUGAAAAUUAAUUCCUUUUAUGUGUAUCCAUGGCAACAUUCUGCAUUUAUUUACCAUAAAAUAUUGCAAAAAGGGGGGUGGACAUGUCACAUAUCCCCCAAAAUUUGGAUCAAACUAGAAUUUCAAUGCCUUUAAGUGAUACCUUUUUAGAAACUGUUUUCAUAAAUCUUCCUAAUGAUCAAAUACAAAAUGAGUGUCUUUCUCCUCAUUUUUUCGUAAAAUCCAAUUACAAAGUUCGUGCGAUAAAAAGUUGGAAAAAAAUAUUACAAUAAUUGCCGGACCAAUGUAUGGUGGACAUGCAACUACGGACUGUCAUACAGAAAACAGCUUAUAUUACAUGCAUUACAUAAUCUUGAUGUUAAUAUAAACCCAAUACAAAGGCUAUUUGAAUACUCAGCUAUCCAAAAAUGAAUUUUAUUGCACACUAGCUCUCAUAUUUGAAAAAUCCACAGGGGCCAAAAUGCGAAACUGCACACCUAACUGUGGAGUGCUACCUAUGGCGAUAUGAUGGCGAGUACUUACCGUAUUAGACAUGUUCACCAUAAGCCAUACCGAAACCAAAACCGAAACCGAUACCGAUACCGAAACCAAAAAUAGUAGUGAAGUAAAUGGUCAAUGUUUAUAAUGUUGAUUAACUUAACCUUUUUACUCCAUACUAUUGUUUGAAAUGUUAAUACACAAGACAGAAUAGAGGUGAAAGAUACCAGAGGGACAGUCACUUUUAUUACUUGAAUUCAUCAAUUCACAUGAAGCUAUAAAAAAUGUUAAAUUUCAACCAUUAUUAAAUACACUUAUGCAAGUUAUAUACAAUUUAAGAUGUUGAAACAAUUUAUCUAUGUUACACGUUAAUCACGAAGCAGGUCCUGUCGAAGGAAAGGAUCUAUACAUAGUUCUACAAUAUGUACAAUAUCUUUCCGAGCAAUAUAUUUAAAGAGGACCUGUAAUUUUAUCAAUUUGCAUUCGUUUUAUGGAAUGCCCUACAUAAUCGUUUCUUGCACAAAAGAGACAGAUUUGCGUUGAUCGCGGAUUAUUGCAUUUAGAUUGCGUAGCUACCUUACAGUAUAUGGUGUUGACAUUGGAUGUUCAGAUAUAUAUAUGUUAUCGCCAAGUAAGUAACAAUCAUGAGUCGACGGUAAUAUAUCGUGUGGACCGGUUGCAUCCAUCAAUCUGAUAGUCAUCGCGUCAUUCUUUUGAACUAGGAAAUUAUUUUAAGCAUCUUAUUUUAUUUGUUGCGUCUAUUAUGACUUGCGUUGAAUAGGUAACAUCACAAAUAUACCGAACACUGAGAGACACCCAAAACGGAAAGUCCAUAAUCAAAUGACUAAACAAAAAGCCCAACACACCAUAUUCUUGACUUGGUACAUUCAUUUUCUUAUAUAGAAAAUUGUGGAUUAAAUCUGGUUUUAUAGCUAGUUAAACCUCUCCUUGUGUGAAAGUCGCAUCAAAAUCUAAUAUAUUGUGUAUAUGACGAUGAAUAUAGUGUAUAUGCCAAUGAAUAUAAAGUAUAUGAAGAUGUUCUCUUUAAAACAAUGCCUGGUUUUCGGUUUGGCAAUGUAAGCUAUGGGAGGUGCCAUCAAUAGAUUUAACUGCUUCUUCCAAUUCUGACCAAUCACCUUUCAUAGAUUCCCAUUCUUCCACCGAAUGCCAUGUUAUCAUUGAUCGUUUGCUUGAUAAAGAAUUUGCCAAAUUACGUGAAUAGCUUUAUGAACUAAAGGUUUGCUAACAUCAAGCAUCAAAGCCAGUUGCGCAAAUGUAAGAUAAUUAUACUGAAAUAAAAAUGUUUGCCUUUUUAAGUAUAUGUUUUGGUUCAUUUGUAAAAGGUCCUCUUUAAAUAUAUAAGUAGGAACGAUAUUGCGCAUAUUGUAGAACUAUGUACAGUUCUUUCCCUUCGACGAAACUUGCUUCUUGAUAUUUUUACAUCAUAGGUAAAUUUGUACAAAUCUAAAUUGUAUAUUACUUGUAUUAGCGUAUUUAAUACUCGUUGAAUAUAACUUUGCUUUUAUGAUAGAUUCAUGUAAAUUGUUGAAUUGAAGUAAUAUUAUAUCUGUGUAUUCAAAUCUCAAACAAUAUAAUGCAAAGGGUUGGGUUAAUUAAACAUUAAAACAUUUACCAUUUACCUCAUUACUAUGUUUGGUUUCGGUAUCGGUUACGGUAUCGGCUUAUGGUGAACAUGUCUAUUACAAAAACGUUUCUGUUUCUGGAUAGAAAUUGAAUAAGUUUAUAUUUUAGUAUUAUCAUUAUUUUGAGAACACCCUAUAAUGUACCGGAUUAUAAACCCAUAUCAUUUUGGUCUUUUCAAAUUUGUUAGAUAUGUAUUUUUUCAAUCAUUUAUAACAAAAAAAGUUGAAAUAAUAUGCAUGUUGUUCUUAAAACUGAGAAAAAUCUCAAAAAUACAAAAUUGACAGCAUGGUAAAUUUUACACAAAAAGCGUCAAAAUAUGAUAAAACUUUCUUAUAUUAAACUACCUAUAGUUUUUCUUUUAAAUUUAUUCAGAUUGGUCCACUUCAUCUUUGUAGAAAGUAUGAAAAAAAGUUUAAUUGUGGAACUGUGAUUUUUUUCAAGUUUAUAGCCCCAAAAAAGGUAAAAAUCGAUGAAAAACGGGAAAAUCAUCAAAAUUGGGCAUUUUCAAAGGGCCGUAGGAAAAAAAGAAGUGCACCACCAUAUGAUUUUUUCUUCACCAAUUGAUUUGUUACAGUCUUAUAAACCCAAAAAUCAGGCUAAGAAAAAAAGUUUAAUUGUAGAAUUUUUUGGCUCCUCAGAGGUAUACAUCCUUAAUAUAGCCUAUACACAAAUCAGAAUUAAAGACAGAUAAGAUGAUCAAAUCAAUCAUAGUAUUUUUAAAAAGACACAUAUGUCAACAGAACAAAUAUCAUUCGUUAGUGUCGAUCUUUUAAAAUCAUAUAAUAGACAAUUAUUUUUUUUUAAAAGAAAUAUAGUUCAUAACAACCUGUUCUGUUUCAUCCGUUAUAUCGUUCAUGUUCAUAGGUCAUAAACAUUAUAGUUUCAAAAGAGGGGUGAAAGAUACCAGAGGGACAGUCAGAGGGGCGAACAAUUCCAGAGGGACAGUCAGAGUGGCGAAAGAUACCAGAGGGACAGUCAAAGUGGCGAAAGAUACCAAAGGGACAGUCAGAGGGACAGUCAGAGGGGCGAAAGAUACCAGAGGGAUAUUCAAAGGGGCAAAAGAUACCAGAGAGACAGUCAAAGAAGCGAAAGAAAUCAGAGGGACAGUUAGAGGGGCGAAAGAUACCAGAUGGACAGUCAGAGGGGCAAGAGAUAACAGAGGGACAGUCAGAGGGGCGAAAGAUAUCAGAGGGACAGUUAGAGGGAUGAAAGAUGAUACCAGAUGGACAGUCAGAGGGGCAAGAGAUACCAGAUGGACAGUCAGAGGGGCGAAAGAUACAAGAGGGGCAGACAAAUAACAGUACACAUGACACAACAUAGUAAACUAAAGACUAAGCAACACGAACCCCAUGAAAACCUGGGGGUGAUCUCAGGUGCUCCGAAAGGAUAAGCAGAUUCUGCUCCAAAUGUGAAAGCCGUCGUGUGGCUAAUGAUAUUACAAACCCGGUAAAAAGCCUAAUUCGGCAGGUCAAAUUCAUUACAAGGGAAGGGGUUUGAUGUACUGAACAUAUUCGAAAGCAUCUGUGAAACGGUCAUUCCAUAGCAGUCAACCAACUCGUGAUGGCGUCCGUAAAAUUUACGAAGGGAUGAUUUCAACUUCACCAUUUGGAACUCUAGGUUCAAUAGCCUCUGGUGAAAUAUUUAGGUUCAAUGUAAUGGUUAACUCUUUUUUUCGUCUGAUAUAUUUUAUUGACUAGUUUCUCAUAUGCCUAAUAAGGACAUAUAUGCCCACGUUUGUUUUGCUAAACAAAAACACAUUCAUGUACGUUUGUUGUGCGCAUUUACUUCAUAUUAUGUAAUUUUAGUUCCGUAUGUAAUGGAUAUCAUGCAAUUCGAUAACAUUUUAAUUGGUUUAUUUUGCCUUUGUUAAUUUUAUUACAGCUGAUGAUAAAUACACGAUAUAUUACUUUUCCGAUCACAGCUUGCACUAUAAUUACUAAUUUAGAUAAUUCUACAUAAGGCUCACCAGUAGCGCUCAUAUCAAAAUUGUUCUAAAGCCAACGAAGUACAAAGUUAAAGAGCAUUGAGGUGCCAUAAUUCAAAAAAAAAAUGAGAAUGAAAUUGAGGAAUAUGUCAAAAAGACAACAACCCGACUAAAGAGAGUUGAACAGCCGAAAGCAACCGACGGGUCUUCAACGCAGCAAGAAAAUUUCACAUCCUAACUACAUUAAGGUACAGGGAUUUCAGAAGAAAAAGAAAAGAAAAACAUUAGUUUUGACGAGUAAUAGCAUCAAACCAUCAUGACGAAAUUUGUAUAUUUUUUUAAAUAGUUUGUAGUUUCCUUGUUUUACAGUCCCUUUUAAUACUCUGAUGCCAUGUUAUGCUUUAUAAUUAACCUAUAUCUUAAACAUUUGAAAAGCUGUUUCGUGAAGCAAGAUGCAAACAUUUUAAUAGUAUAAUAUUGUAAACUAUUAUAGUAGACAAUGUCUGCAUCUUGCACAGUCUAACCUAGUUAUGUCGAACUCGAAGGGACCGGACCAAAGUAUUCGACUCAUCAGGGGUUCGACUCAUCCGAGGUGGAGUGUGUCGUCAUAAAUUUUAAAUGCAUGAAAUACGGUAUGAAAUUUGUGUAAACUAGAUACAAUGAACAGUGUGCCUUUUUUUCUAUAUGACACUUUAUAAUUGUGUAUUCAAUCUCCAUAUUUGGUCAUUCGUAAUAAUUAAAAACACAAGAACAGAUACAAAUCAUGCACACGUAAAAUCAAUAAUCUACACAAAUAUUUACAAAGGUCAGUCGCUAUAACUUAUGAAAUCACUCGCGGCACGAAACAAGUUCUGAACGGUCUCUGAUGAGGUCGUCUGCUUUUCAUUAAAUUAUCAUGAAUUUAUUAUAAUUGUCCUAAUCCUUUUAUUUAUAGUAAUUUAUGAGUUUUAAAUCUCACGAUUCAUUUAAUUUUGGCUUGUGUCAUUUUAAUUCGUUUCGUUUUCAGGACCGAGAAAUUACUUCGACUCAUCCGAGUUUUUGACACAACCGAGUUCGACACAACGAGGUUGGACUGUAAAUAAAUCGUAUGAAUAUAUUAAAACCCAUCCUCAGUGAUGCAAGUUUACUCGACAAAAAGAUGGCCUAAAUAAAAAUACUUAAUAUUGGUUUCUUUGAUCAAGAAACGUCACUUUAAACAAAUGAUAAUAGCAAUAUUUUGUCUGUAUAUGAAGAAAUAACAUUAAAAUUGUAAUGCACAUAAAUAUCUGCGUAACUGUUUAUUUGAAAGGGCGUAUCACAGUUUUCAAAUUUGCAAAUAGACAGAAACAAUAUUAAGGUCACUCAUUAUAAUUUAUUGCUAAAGAGAAUGAAAUAAUGAUAAAAAUAUUGAUGACAUCGCGGUCACACGACAAAAUCAUGUAUAUGAGCUGAUAGGCAAAACACUUUCAGCCAUUUAAAAGACGUGUUACAUCCAAAAUUAAAUUAUAUACACAUAACAGAAGACGUUUCCACUCGUGCUGCUCAUGUUAGUAUAAACCCGGUAAUAAAUCUAAUUCGGUAGGUUACAUUCGUGAUAAGGGAACGGGAUUGUAGUUUCGACAUACAGAACUUUUCUUCAUUGUUGAAUGCAGUAUGAUGACCUAUAGCUGUUAAUUUCUGUGUCAUUGUGGUCUCUUGGGGAGAGAGGUCUCAGUUGAAAUCAUACAACAUCUUUUUCUUUUUUAGACAUAACCGCUGUCAUCUGUGAAACGGAUUUUCCGUAACGAUCAACCAACUCAUAUGGUUCAUGGUACGACCUAUGACCAUUAGCAAACACCUAUACAGAGUAAUUAGCAAUACGAAUGUCUAGUUUAUGAUAUGACUUUUGACGAAUGACCAAACGGCUGAAUAAGCAAAACUAAAUAUACAUCGACAGGACAAAUUCAGAAGAAUUCAAAUGAAAAAUUCAUCGCCCUGAUAUAUUUGAAAAACAAGGAAAUAUGACUCACAGCGACACGGGACUGAAUUACAGGCUCCAGACUUAGGAAACACACACACAGGUUAUUACUUACUUACCGACUGGCACAGUGACCGAUUCAAUAAUGAACAAAACAACUAGAUAUUUAAUACAUAUUAACUUUAAAUUCGUAUAAAGCUUUUUUUAUUUCAACAGUUCACCUAAACAUGUAGUAGAAUACUUACUGUAUAUGGUUUACACUUGAUAUGAUAUGCACAGCUGUGAAGUUGCACUGACGCUACUACAGAAGAUUAAUCACUUACAUAUAAAUUAUUGUAGUUGCAUUUACUUUACUUAGGUCAAUCAAUGUGAGUAUUGAAGAAGGUAUAGUGUAUCAAUAUAAUUUACAUAAUUAAAUAUGUGUGAAUAUGUAACCAUCCUAAAAUACCUUAAUCUGUGUUUUCAUAUGACAUUAAAAUGUUAUAUAAAAUGUAAGCCGUUGUAGUGGGCAUUCUUUCGUGUUUGCAAUAUGAUUUUUUCGUUUCUAGGUCAUUACAAUUUUGCCAACUGUAAUGGCUUAUGAUAUAUGGGAUACAUCAUAACAAUAUGAAAAUGUACCAUUUGUAGUAUGAAGUUACGUAAAAUAUAAUAUCCUAGAAUGGAAAGUUGAUAUUCACUUCUUGUCUAUUUAAAGAUCAAAACAUAAACCGGUGCGGCAUAAUUUCACCAUGUAUAUGUCCCGAACUUCUAAGAAUUCAAACUUACUGUAGAUUAAUUAUAACGUGUUGGAUACCUAUUUCCGUAGAUUUUGUUGGUACAAGUGAACCACGAAAUUAAGGGAUCAACGAAUGACAAUUUCAUAUAGACCGAAAAUAAAUUUAUCCACAGUAUUCUAAAGUUCUGCACUACCCCUUCAAUCACUUUGGGUCUUCCUUAAAAUUCAGUGUGCCCGUUACAUGUACCUUUAUACUAGUAACAUCCCCUUAUUAGUCCCUACGAGAGGAAACAUAUAAUGUAACAUGCCCAUUGCCAUCUGUGACACAGGUCUACCAUACUGUCAAACAACUCGUGAUGGCAUCAUUAAAAUUUUCUAAGUUGGUUUCACAUUCAACAGUUAGAUUCUUGGUUCCACAGUUUCCUCAUAAAACAACUUGCUUUUAACGAAAAAUCAUUAUGCGAAAUACAAGCCGUGUAGUGUCAUUUCAAUUGGCAAGUUGAAUAUAUACUCAAACAGGUGCUGUUUGAAAGUUGUCACAAGAAAGAAACUGCAAUCAUAUGUUUUAUCCUAAAGGUUUUUUCUUGACUGACCCUAAAAGUUACUUCCUGGAUGUAUGUAAUCAUAUGAUGCAGAUUGAGCUGUAUCUAUUGUAUCUUUUAUUUUCGUUCGAUGUGAUACAAGUGUUCAACAUAGUCACCACCCUUUAUUCUGUUAAAGAAUAUCAUCUAUUUAGCUGAACGUGAAGCUGAAUGAUAAUGAUCCAUUCCUUCUUGGAAGCUUCUGUUUGAAAACAACCUCGUGGAAAUGGAAAAAAAAACAAGUCGAAAAUAAGAGGGGCACAGUUGAUUUCUAUGCGAUUGCAUAUUGUGUGACCCCAAACAUAAACAAUAUGCUGUCAACCAAGACAUCAAGCAUCUUGAAAAUAUCAGUUUAAAAGAACAAUAAAACAUGUCCUUGAAAAAAUAUCUUGCAAAAUACGAACCAUCGAAGAUUUAUCAAAGUACAGACGAGGAAGCUAUAACAUUAUGAAUGAUUAUUGCAAACAUACUAUUAUGUUUGCUGUUCGUGUUAGUCAUUACAAAAUUGUACAAUUAGAACAAAACAAAAACUAAAAAGAAAUGUUACUUGAACUUGUUUGACAUGACUUGAAGGGUGGAUGAAAUAUUUGGGUUAUUAUUUUUUUAUCGUUUACACAGUUGCAAUUUUCAAACUGGUGAUAAGACUCCUUAAAAGAACUGUUAUACCACUGUCCCAGGUUAGGGAGAGGGUUGGGAUCCCGUUAACAUGUUUAACCCCGCCACAUUAUUUAUGUAUGUGCCUGUCCCAAGUCAGGAGCCUGUAAUUUAGUUGUCGUUUGUUUAUGUGUUACAUAUUUGUUUUUCGUUCAUUUGUUUUACAUAAAUAAGACCGUUAGUUUUCUCGUUUGAAUUGUUUUACAUUGUCUUAUCGGGCCAUUGUAUAGCUCACUAUGCGGUAAGGGCUUUGCUCAUUGUUGAAGGCCGUACGGUGACCUAUAGUUGUUAAUGUCUGUGUCAAUUUGGUCUUUUGUGGAUAGUUGUCUCAUUGGCAAUCAUACCACAUCUUCUUUUUUAUAUAUUCUUUAUUUUUUUUGUUUGUUUCUUUAUGUAUAAUCAUUCACAAUUAAAGAAAACAAAAUGCAAUUUAUCAAUUAUCAAUCCAAUAAUACAAAACAAAAUAAAUAACAAAUAAAUAAAUAAGUUGUUUUCUAACUAAAUAAUUCUGGUAACAUACUUUUAUAUAAGCAGAUCAUUUUUUAAUCUCGUCGAAAUGUAAGUGUUACAUAUACAUGUAUCUAAAUCCUUGUUAUUUGGAUAUAUUUUAAUACUGGCACAAUACCUAUUGUAGCUUUUUCAUUGUCCUUCACUGCUGUGUUGUUUUUGACAUUUUUUAGAAACGUUGUUAAACAUGUUGUAACAAUAAAAAGUUAUUGUACUUUUAUAUUUGUACCAACCAGCUGUUUCGUGCACAAAAUAUAUAAAAUUGAACUGAAUCUUGAUUAUCGUUAACAUCCCCAAAAAGCAACUUCAAAGUGAAGUGUUAAACACAAAUAUUACAGACAUGAAUUUAUUCGGAAUCAUAGUCCUUGUCGCUCUGUUGAUGGUGGCUUCAGUUACUAUGCCAGUUGGUAAGUAGAAUUGUUGGUACCAUUAAUACGCUUAAUCCCGCUGCAAAUGUUUGCACCUAUCCUGAGUCAGGAAUCUGAUGUACAGUAACUGUCGUUUGUUUAUGUAAUUUAUACAUAUUUCUCGUUUCUCUUUUUCAUAUAUAUAGAUAAGACCGUUGGUUUUCCUGUUUGAAUAGUUUUACACUAAGAUUUUUUGGACCCUUUACAGAUUGUUGUUCGGUAUGAGCCAAGGCUCCGUGUUGAAGGCCGUACAUUGACCUAUAAGGGUUUACUUUUAUAAAUUGUUAUUUGGAUGGAGAGUUGUCUCAUUGGCACUCAUACCACAUUUUCCUAUAUCAAUAGACUGAAAAGAUGUGUUUGAAUCAAAACUCACUAGUUACAAGUAUUUUUGGUUUGAUCGAAUUUGCAUGAUGAAUGUUAAUGACGAAUGCACAUCAAGAGACCCAUAAUCUGAAGAUGCAACUGGUUUAGUUCCAAUUGUAAUGAAUACAAUGCCCUCAAUUUUAGUUAGUUAAUAUAAUUGCGAAUGGAAAUGAGGGAGUAUGUCAAAAGUCCAAACAUUUGAUUGUCACCUACUUAUGGACUUAUGAUUGAGCAUCGAUAAACUAUAUUGUAGUCUUUAUUAAAAGUAAAAUCACAAAAAUACUGAACUCAGAGGAAAAUCAAUUCGGAAAGUCCAUAAUCACAUGGCAAAAUCAAAUAACAAACGCAUCAAAAACGAAUGGACAAGAACUGUCAUAUUCCUGACUUGGUACAGGCAUUUUCAAAUGUAGAAAAUGGUGGAUUGAACCUGAAGAUGUCAAUCGCAUUUCUUGGUUUGGUUCGUUUUCAUUUAAACUUGACAUGUAUAUGUAAAGGACAUAUGUUUACUUGCUUGUCAGAGUAAUUGUAACACAAAGAUAUAAAUGUAUACAUUAUUCAUAUAAUUUUUAAUUUCAGAUGCCUAUGGAAUAUAUAACAGAAGGAGUAAAAGUAAAGGAGGAAGUUCUGGUGGAGGGGUGAGUGAACAUUUUUAUUAUUUAUUCAAGCAAUUAAGGAAACUGCUUUUGUUAUCAUUGUUCUGAAUGCACAUGCCUUUCAUAUUUAAAUACAUGUAAACAAAAUGUAAUGAUGGAUUGUGUAUGACUGGUUAAUUUUGAAUAAAUAUAUACAAAAAUUAAAAUGACAAAAAUAUCAAAACGACAACCAAGAACUGUUAAACACAUAUUUGGAAGUAGGGUUACACAAUUGGUUUACCUCUUAAUGCUCCGAAUGAAUGAACAUGUGAGCAGGUUAAAACUGCUACAUUUUAUGUUGUUAAUACAAACAAAGAUCGGCAUUCAGCUUGAAUUAGAGACGGCAGUAUGCAUAUGUAUCAAAUCAACAAAUUUUUACAAAAUAUUGGCGUUAUUUAACUCAUGUUAAACCCCAAUUAUUUAUUUCAAAUGAAAUAUUUGAUUGUGAGAAUUAAUUUUAGUGCCCAACAAGUUUGUGUGAUAACUAAGAUUAAAAGAGAUGAUAUAUUCACACUGGUCGGUCGACAAAAAAUAGAAGUGCCAUGACUAACUGACUGUAGAUUUAUAAUUAAGCUGAAUGGUCAUAUUUUGAUUUCAUUGACUUAUUGAGUUAGUAAGAGUUCAAUUUGAAUAAAGCCAUCCUGACAAUAGUUAUCAAAGGUACCAGGAUUAUAAAACUGUAAACUGCUACUUUCCAGAUCCGUUAAGUCACACAAGUAUUUUAUCAUGUUUAGACGUACAUGCAUUAUUUUCCAAUGUUUCUCUUCGAAAUAAUAUCGAAUGAAAGCAUAUUAAAGUUAUUUUAUUUUAAUUAACAAUCAUGAUAUCUUAACCUUCGCUUAGUUGAUUCAUAAAUAAUAAAACAAACACAAUAUAAUUCAAACUGGAUCAAAUAAACUCAUCAAAGAUACCAGAACUAAAUUUUGUAUAUACGCUAGACGUGCGUUUCGUCUACAAAAGGCUCAUCAGUGACGCUCAAAUCUAAAAAAGUUAGAAAGGCCAAAUAAAGUGCGAAGUUGAAGAGCAUUAAGGACCAAAAUACUGCAAUACAUCUUAUUUUUAGAAACUUAGUGGCAAUGUAAUUUAGUGAGUUCGAACGUUAAUAACCUACUGAAUUAAACAUAACGUAUUACCAAUAAUCAUGUUAAAGCUAAUCAUACACUACGGAAAUGAUCUCUUUCUUAAAUAUAUCUCAAUUAUUUUACAGAGCAGUGGUCAUGGUGGUAAAUAUGGUAAAUAUGGUGGUAAAUAUGGCGG
rnacentral:lncRNA from 1 species